GGAGAAAAUUUUUGCAAUCUCUCCUUCCAAUGAAGGACUUCUGUAUUUUUAAUGUAAAAUAUUUCCUACAGUAUAUGUUAUGGUAUUAUCAUUAUUUAAGAAUAUGUUAGACAAAUCCAUUCUAUUCCUUCCUUUUAGGCAGCAUACCUGGUUAUUAGGAGAUGUUUCCAGAUGAGACCAUGAAUCGAAAAAAAUUUGAGUCUCUGUCCAAGUUGAACUGCUUACAUCUGGUCAGAAUAACACCUGAAAUGAUCAGACAGAUAUUCCCCUCUUCAGACUCCAUGGCUUAGCACUAAAGCACAGUCGGAAAAACAUGGUCAAAUUUGGUUCACAGCACCUGCCCAGGACCUACUUUCUUCCUUACCUAUGCUACCCAGAGGCGAAACAGCAAAUCAGCACCAGACAGCCACCUAGCUUCAAGUUUCCAGUGCAAUGAAAGCUUCAAGCAUGUGGAGAGCAAAACAACAGGACAUCUCACCCAAAGAGAUCAACCUCUGCAGAAGGCAAAGGUUUCCAAAAUAGGCAACCUUCUACCUGGAUCAAUUUCCACAGUAGGCGAUGGAGCCAAUGAAGUCAUGGAGAAGUUAGUUUCCACCCAGUUAUUCCUCUCCUGGCUCCAUCUUUGCUUCAAAAUUUCUUAUUGAAAAUGAGUCCUAGCUGAGCAUAGAGAAAGCACGUCAAAGCAGAUUCUGUCUGUAUUAAGACCUAUACACACUGCUAGUAAGAUUCCACUAUUUAGUGGGACGCAUACCUCUGUCACUUAAAGAUGUGUGACUUGAGCAAAUCACUAAAUCUCCAUUUUGCCAUCUGUAAAAUGGGUAAAAUAUUACUUGUCUACACACCUUGCAGGAUUUGGGAGAGAAACAAAAAAAAAAAUGAAGUUUGUAAAAGUAAUCUGGAAUGAUAAAAAUCAAACAAAAAUAAAAUAAAAUCAUUUUUCUCU
rnacentral:lncRNA from 1 species